CAAACCGUGACGCAGAGAGAAAUAAACACUACUCAAAAGAUAACAACCCACAAAGACAAGUGGAAAAAAAACCUACUUAAAUAUGAUCUCCAAUUAGAGACAACGAGGACCGGCUGCCUCUAAUUGGAGAUCAUCCCCCAAAAAAAACAUAGAAAUAGAAACCUAGAAUAACCACAUAGAAACCCACCCAAAAACACCCCCUGUCAUGCCCUGAUCUACUCUACUAUAGAAAAUGACAUCUUAUAAGGGUCAGGACGUGACAGCUAGCUCCUAAUGUUACCUAGCUAGCUAAAUGAUGUUUGCCAGCUAACGUUAACCAGCUAUUGGAAGUGGCCACAUAGCUAACAUGCCAGAAUGUUAGCUAGCUAGUAGUAGUUGACAAAGGAAAGAGGACAUCCUACCUGAAAUAUGUUUAAGUACGAAUAUCAGGUAAAUCUUUGUUUAACAAAUCUUUAAUUUACAGAACAUACGGUAGCUAGCUAGCUGUCAAACACUCACUGUUUGUGUCAAGAAAACUGAUGGCAUUUGUUUCCUUCAAAGGGUGGAGCUGCUUUAGAGAUCUUCAGUAAGGAAAAGAUCCUGUUGCGAAAUGGAAACUUUCUGGAGGACAAUCAGCUAUAAAUAAAGUGUCUGACAAAGAGGUCAAGGGCUUUGUGUACAUUAUGGAUGGUAGCAGCCAAACUAUUAAAAAAAGAUGCCAUAAGAAGUUACAAUGGCUCUUGGGCUGGUACAGAGAUUCUUGGUCCUCCAAGUGAAUGUUUUCCCAAUGUAAAGACUUCUCCACAGAGAUUG
rnacentral:lncRNA from 1 species